ACGAGUGGCGGACGGGUGAGUAAUGUCUGGGAAACUGCCUGAUGGAGGGGGAUAACUACUGGAAACGGUAGCUAAUACCGCAUAACGUCGCAAGACCAAAGAGGGGGACCUUCGGGCCUCUUGCCAUCGGAUGUGCCCAGAUGGGAUUAGCUAGUAGGUGGGGUAAAGGCUCACCUAGGCGACGAUCCCUAGCUGGUCUGAGAGGAUGACCAGCCACACUGGAACUGAGACACGGUCCAGACUCCUACGGGAGGCAGCAGUGGGGAAUAUUGCACAAUGGGCGCAAGCCUGAUGCAGCCAUGCCGCGUGUAUGAAGAAGGCCUUCGGGUUGUAAAGUACUUUCAGCGGGGAGGA
rnacentral:rRNA from 1 species